UACGUAGGGGGCAAGCGUUGUCCGGAAUUAUUGGGCGUAAAGAGCUCGUAGGCGGUCUGUCGCGUCGGAUGUGAAAAUCCAGGGCUCAACCCUGGACCUGCAUUCGAUACGGGCAGACUAGAGUUCGGUAGGGGAGACUGGAAUUCCUGGUGUAGCGGUGAAAUGCGCAGAUAUCAGGAGGAACACCGGUGGCGAAGGCGGGUCUCUGGGCAACAACUGACGCUGAGGAGCGAAAGCGUGGGGAGAGAACAGG
rnacentral:rRNA from 1 species